UAAGGUUUACGAUUCGCCCUUAAGGCUCAGUAACACGUGGCCAACCUGCCCUUAGGACAAGUAUAACCCCGGGAAACUGGGGAUAAUCCUUGAUAGGUGAGGAAUUCUGGAAUGAGUCUUUGCUUAAAGGACGUGCAGAUCACGCUUCUGUGCGUUGCCUAAGGAUGGGGCCGCGGCCGAUCAGGUUGUUGGUGAGGUAACGGCUCACCAAGCCUAUAACCGGUACGGGCCGUGAAAGCGGAAGCCCGGAGAUGGGCACUGAGACAAGGGCCCAGGCCCUACGGGGCGCAGCAGUCGCGAAAACUCCGCAAUACGCGAAAGCGUGACGGGGCUAUCCCGAGUGCUAUUCGAUGAGAGUAGCUUUUCCUCAGUGUAAAGUGCUGGGGGAAUAAGGAGGGGGCAAGACUGGUGUCAGCCGCCGCGGUAAUACCAGCUCUCCGAGUGAUAGGGACGUUUAUUGGGCCUAAAGCAUCCGUAGCUUGCUGAGUCUGUCCUCCGUUAAAUCCAACGAUUUAAUCGUUGGGCUGCGGGGGAUACUGCUUAGCUAGGAGGCGGGAGAGGCCGACGGUAUUUCCGGGGUAGGGGUGAAAUCCUAUAAUCCCGGGACGACCACCAGUGGCGAAGGCUGUCGGCUAGAACGCGCUCGACGG
rnacentral:rRNA from 1 species